rnacentral:rRNA from 1 species
AUUGAACGCUGGCGGCAGGCCUAACACAUGCAAGUCGAACGGAUCGCCGGACGGGUGCGUAAUGCCUAGGAAUCGGCCUGUGAGUGGGGGAUAACGUCCGGAAACGGGCGCUAAUACUGCAUACUAUCAGAAUAGCCUAGGUCGGAUUAGCUGGUUGGUGGGGUAAGGGCCUACCAAGGCGACGAUCCGUAACUGGUCUGAGAGGAUGAGCAGUCACACUGGAACUGAGACACGGUCCAGACUCCUACGGGAGGCAGCAGUGGGGAAUAUUGGACAAUGGGCGAAAGCCUGAUCCAGCCAUGCCGCGUGUGUGAAGAAGGUCUUCGGGUUGUAAGGCACUUUAAGUUGGGAGGCGUUACCAACAGAAGAAGCACCGGCUAACUCCGUGCCAGCCGCCGCGGUAAUAC